UCGACAUUCAUUAUGCAGAGCAUGGCAUAUAUCCACUUCUCAUCUCCCAUAUCUGGGGCUCAGCUUUCUGUGAUUGGUGACUUAAAGCUAUAUCAACGAGAGCCACUUAAACACAGAGGACUUGACACACGCUACAAUCUUUCAGUAGUUAAUGAUGACAGCCCAUUUGCAAGUUCCUUUGACUUGGCAGAUAUCACUGCAUCAUAUCAAGAUAGAAAUGUAACAACUAUUCUUGCCAAUCAGUAUGCUGUGUGGACUCCAGUGAGAGCUGCUAAUGUACCAUUUAUUAUUAAGGCAGUUGUGAAAUAUCCAGUGGAAAUUAUCACAUAUC